UACGAAGGGUGCAAACGUUGCUCGGAAUUAUUGGGCGUAAAGCGCGCGUAGGCGGCUACCUAAGUCGGAUGUGAAAGCCCCUGGCUUAACUGGGGAAGUGCACCCGAAACUGAGUAGCUAGAGUGCGAAAGAGGGUCGCGGAAUUCCCGGUGUAGAGGUGAAAUUCGUAGAUAUCGGGAGGAACACCGGUGGCGAAGGCGGCGACCUGGGUCGACACUGACGCUGAGGCGCGAAAGCGUGGGGAGCAAACAGG
rnacentral:rRNA from 1 species